UACGGAGGGGGCAAGCGUUAUUCGGAAUUAUUGGGCGUAAAGGGCGCGUAGGCGGCUAGAUGUGUCAAAGGUGAAAUCCCUCGGCUCAACUGAGGAAUUGCCUUUGAAACUGUCUGGCUUGAGGCCGGGAGAGGGUAGCGGAAUUCCCAGUGUAGCGGUGAAAUGCGUAGAUAUUGGGAGGAACACCAGUGGCGAAGGCGGCUACCUGGACCGGUUCUGACGCUGAGGCGCGAAAGCGUGGGUAGCAAACAGG
rnacentral:rRNA from 1 species